rnacentral:rRNA from 1 species
GACGAACGCUGGCGGCGUGCUUAACACAUGCAAGUCGAACGGACAGGCCCUGCUUUUGUGGGGUGCUCGAGUGGCGAACGGGUGAGUAACACGUGAGUAACCUGCCCUUGACUUUGGGAUAACUUCAGGAAACUGGGGCUAAUACCGGAUAGGAGCUCCUGCUGCAUGGUGGGGGUUGGAAAGUUUCGGCGGUUGGGGAUGGACUCGCGGCUUAUCCGCUUGUUUGUGGGGUAGUGGCUUACCAAGGCUUUGACGGGUAGUCGGCCUGAGAGGGUGACCGGCCACAUUGGGACUGAGAUACGGCCCAGACUCCUACGGGAGGCAGCAGUGGGGAAUAUUGCACAAUGGGCGGAAGCCUGAUGCAGCAACGCCGCGUGCGGGAUGACGGCCUUCGGGUUGUAAACCGCUUUCGCCUGUGACGAAGCGUGAGUGACGGUAAUGGGUAAAGAAGCACCGGCUAACUACGUG